rnacentral:lncRNA from 1 species
GGUGCCUGGGGGACUUUUGGGAUAGCAUUUGAAAUGUAAAUGAAGAAAAUACCUAAUUAAAAAAUAAAUUUAAAAAAAACCCUGAGGUUUCUAUUUUCUAAAUGUAAUAUUUUAACUUAAGGUAGCAUCAGAGAUAUUUGUGGUUUUUUUUUUUUUUUAAUUAUAUAAAUACAUUUUACUCAGCCAAUUUUGGACACCACUCUAGUUUUUCAUUCAAUCUGUAGGUUAUUGAAUGAUUGAAUGUUCCUUUGAAUGAACAUUUUUAGUAUUAGAAAACAUACAAUUCACUUACUUUGCUUAUUCUAAGCUGUUCCCCAUGGGUGUGUAAGCCGCACUGUGUUCUAUAAUAUGUCUGUUAAAGGGACAGUUAAAUGUUCUUUGGUAUUUUAAUUAUCUCCUUAGCAUGGCCUUUCAAGAAUAUCUGUAUCACGGUUUGGCUAAUAUAUGCUCUUUUUUUCUAAGAUAUAAAAAUACAUUCACAUUUAGUGACUUCAUGAAGCCCAAAACUCAAGCAUGUUGAAAAAUCAGUAAGAGGGAAGCAAUCUGUUCACAGUACAUCUUCUUAAUGAUUAGAUAGAAAACUUGUGAAAUGAACACCUACAAAGAACCAAAAUACCAAGGACUGCAGGUAAAGUUAGCUGUGCAAUGUGCUUCGAUGUUUCUCCCUCUGUUAUUGAACUCCAGAUGUCUAAGGCAUAGAUGGUCAUUGCAGUCAUUGCUGAUAAAUGCAGCAAGACACAGAAACCUGGAGAAUUACUCCAUACACAAAGGACAAUAGAAUAGAGGAGCCUAAUUAUCCAGCACUAUCUGUGUCGCCAAUGGGCUAUGGUCUCCUGGCAUGGACCAUAUAAAUUAUUAAAGUUAUGCUCUCUGGCUUAAUAGUCGUCCAUGCCUUGUUUACCCGAUGUUAUUAAAAUUCAAAACUAGAACAAACCCAUUUAUUCAACAUAUAUUUAUUCAGCACCUUUUUAGUGCUGUUCAAUUUUUUUAAGCUCUAGAGAUAAAAAUGGUAGUUUUCACUUUCAAAGAAAUUGAAUUCUGAGGAUAGUGAACAGGAAAAGAUGCCAAAGAGAUUUGAAAGGCUACAGGGGGCCUGGAGUACAGGAGACCAUUGUCAGCAGGUCAAACUUCUGAUUCAUUGAUAGCCUGUGUUUCUAGAGGAAACCAUCCACUGAUGGUCUGGGCAAGAACAGUGUAAGAAGGUUAGGGCUGAUACCAACACAAUUGUGGAAAGAAACAAGCUGGACAGGUCAGAGAUUAUAGUCAAACAAACAGCAUGGUUCUUGGUUUGGUAACAGAAGGCUCUGAGUAUACAGGAUAGAAGAACAGUAAGAAGGGAAGUGGAGAUGUUAGUAUAUGCAUACCCAGUCACAAAAUUGUAGAUUUCUUCAUGAUUCCCUAACAUCAUCCUAUGUGAUGUAAGAGCUGGGAUGUAAGAGCAAUGCCCAAGAAACAGUAACUGAAUCGUGGAAGAUCAGAGACCUUAUCAGUAAGUCCUUGAGAAUAACAGGCUAUUUGCACAUCAUGUAUGCAGUGACGCCUGAGCCAAGCAAAUUAUAUUUGUGUAGCAUGAGGGUAGUGUGAGGGUUGAGUAUUGUGGGUGGCCCUGAAGAAACUGGGAAAUGAUUCUUUUCUUACUAAUAGAC